GAUUCAUUUCGCAACACCUACGGCUUCCACUAGAUGUCAACGAUCUUUAUAAAGUUGUUUGAAGCGUCUAUGAUAAACAGAGAGCAAAUUAGAAUCCAAGGAAGUUGACAUGUCAUCACUUCAUUUUUUUGCGCCUGCGCAUAAAUCUGAGAAACGUGAGUUUGUCAUCAUUGUUUAUCUAGACAUAGGAUAGGUUGUGUGAAAAUAUUACUGAUGUUUAACGUUAAAAAUGGACCAAAAGAUUAAUGCUAAACAACAUUUGACAUGUUUGAACGAACAUAAAUAGAUUAUUUACUAGGUUUUUUUAGCUUUUCGGCGUGAUUUUACCAGCCCCACACCACGUUUUGUGGGAGCAUAAUGAACGCUAAGUACUUGGUGUUAUUUGGACAUAAAUUCUGAACUUUGUCAAAAGAAACCACAUUUGUUCCGGACCUGGAAUGCCUUCCGGACCUGGGAUCCUGCCUUCUGAUGGAGAUAAUCAAAGGCGGCGAAUCGCAUCUCUGCAUGUCUGUCAGACAUAUCAGUGUGGAUGACGGAUCACCAGCUCAAGCUGAACCUCGGCAAGACGGAGCUGCUCUUCCUCCCGGGGAAGGACUGCCCGUUCCAUGAUCUCGCCAUCACGGUUGAGAACUCCCUUGUGUCCUCCUCCCAGAGUGCUAAGAACCUUGGCGUGAUCCUGGACAACACCCUGUCGUUCUCCACUAACAUCAAGGCGGUGACCCGAUCCUAUAUGGAGAUUUGUGAAAUCCCGUCUGCUGAUGAAGAGGUCCCAGUGAAUUUCCCAAGAGACUGCUGGCACAUCCUUCUAUGCCAUGGGUUGAAUGUAUACUUAUGUUAGCAAAUGUUGUAUACAACAAUACAGUUAAAAGUCACACACAAUGUAAGCUAUAAACUUAUUACAACUUUUUCUAUAAUCUAUUUAUGGUCAAAUACUUCAGUUGUAACUGUGGAACUCACUUUUUACAGUUGAAGACAACUUAAGCACUCUUAAAAACUCAUUUGAAUGAGUUUGUUUAUUUCUUACAGUAGCCUAUAGAUCUAAACAUCUCUGGAGGUGCUGCAUGGGCUCAUUUGUUGUCUUACUAUUAAUUACACAGGCUGUAUGACCUAUUUCUUGGUCAACUCAUAUCAAUAUCAGCUUAUUAGUGGUGGGGUAGGCUAAAUAAAAACAGAAUAUGCCUAAUUAAAAGAACAGUAAUGAAGGAAAUUAAAAAAUGCUGGGCAGAGCAUGCAAAGAGCUCAUGUCUGAGCGGUACCGGAGCAAAAUUGGAGCUAGAGAGAAGGCCAACUCUCCAACAUAUUUGCCAUUGACACUUUGUAAUUAUGUGUUGCUCUAUAAAAGAGACCAGGACGGAAUCUAUAAUCUUUGACUUUAUUGAACUACCUGAACAUAAAACCUUUACUACAAAAUGUGCCUGCUUCCGUACCAUGUCUGUUUCACCUUCAUCUGUCACAAAAUGAGCCCAGACCAUGAGUGAAGGGAGGGAGGAAUCCAUGAAUUGAUGGGCUGUGCUAUUUCCUCCUUGGAAGUACCCAUUUCAAAGUGGCAGAGGCUUUCCCCACUACCGUACAGUCCCUGUUUGUGGGCUAAAUGAGUGCUGGUCCACGCCAGCUUUUAAAGCCCAUUAUCCAAAGGGAGAGAAGAGGGAAUACUGCUUCCAACUGCUGUCUCCCAGCCCAGGCUUCUCUCCGGCAAAGCAUGAAGAAUACCUUCCCUGUGGCACAAAAACCCUUCCCUUCUUUAUGAGUCAUUGACAUGCAGAGUUACAUCCACCAUAGAAACCCUUAUUCCCUGCAACAUUAUUAAUUCAGAAAGUCAGUUCCCGACUUUAUUAUUCCUCCAUAAAUCAGGAUUCCAAAACAAUAUGCCAACUAUCGGAGGUGAAAUAUGAUUGAGAUGUAGCGCUGACAGGGUCAUAAGAGUUAUCCAAAUUUGCAUUAAUUAGCACUGUUCGUACCAAAUACUGUGAUUUACUCAAACGAUUGAGUCCACAUGCCUAUCUUUGUAC
rnacentral:lncRNA from 1 species